AAUAUUGGGCAAUGGGCGCAAGCCUGACCCAGCGACGCCGCGUGAGGGAAGAAGGUCUNCGGAUUNUNAACCACUUUUACAGGGGNCGAAGUAAGUGACGGUACCCUGAAAACAAGCCACGGCCAACUACGUGCAAGCCGCCGCGGUAAGUCGUCGGUGGCGAGCGUUAUCCGGCAUUACUGGGUUUAAAGGGUGGGUAGGGGGGAUCGCAAGUCAGUGGUGAACCCCGUGGGCUCAACCCACGGCCUGCCAUUGAAACUGCGGUUCUUGAGAAUGGGAGAGGUAAACGGAAUUCCCGGUGUAGCGGUGAAAUGCGUAGAUAUCGGGAGGAACAUCGGUGGCGAAGGCGGUUUACUGGACCAUAACUGACGCUGAGACACGAAAGCGUGGGGAGCAAACAGG
rnacentral:rRNA from 1 species